rfam:Nematostella vectensis strain CH2 x CH6 NEMVEscaffold_1303_Cont35605, whole genome shotgun sequence.
GUUGCGGUGGCCGAGUGGUUAAAGCGUUGGACUAAAAAUGCAAUGCGAUCUUUCCGCGCAGAUUCGAAUCCUGCCCGCAACG